AUUGAACGCUGGCGGCAGGCCUAACACAUGCAAGUCGAACGGAGUGGCGGACGGGUGAGUAAUGUCUGGGAAACUGCCUGAUGGAGGGGGAUAACUACUGGAAACGGUAGCUAAUACCGCAUACUGAAGGAGGGGAUUGCGUCUGAUUAGCUAGUUGGAGGGGUAACGGCCCACCAAGGCGAUGAUCAGUAGCCGGUCUGAGAGGAUGAACGGCCACAUUGGGACUGAGACACGGCCCAGACUCCUACGGGAGGCAGCAGUGGGGAAUAUUGGACAAUGGGCGAAAGCCUGAUCCAGCCAUGCCGCGUGUGUGAAGAAGGUCUUCGGAUUGUAAAGCACUUUAAGUUGGGAGGCGUUACCAACAGAAUAAGCACCGGCUAACUUCGUGCCAGCAGCCGCGGUAAUUC
rnacentral:rRNA from 1 species